UCUUCAUUUCACGUGCUCUCUCACCGGUCAGAAAGACGAGAGAGUGUGAGAAAUGAAGAGA
rnacentral:pre_miRNA from 1 species